CUAAAAUUAUUGUAUAAUACUGUAGCGUGACUUUACAAUGUGAAGAUGUGAUAAUAAUUAAUAAUCAGACUCAUGAUUUAUUAUUAAAAGAUUUUUAGUCAUAUAACUGCUUAAAUCCAGCUUGCUCUAAAACAAAUAAAAAUGUGCAAAUGCUGCAAGAUAAUGAUAGACAACCAGUGUGAAACAAGUUAGACUUAUAAUGUUUCAAAACUUAGAAGUUUAGAAUUGAAGUGUGUUUUCUUAAUUAAAAGCAUAAAUUGUUUUUUUCUAGAAUAAUCUGUUAUGAUUUUGCUUAAACUUAAAGAGUGUUUUUUCCUAAAUAUAUAUAAGAAAGUUUGCUUAUAAAACUUAAAAUGUUUUGCUACAUAAAAUGUGUUUGCUUAGAUAUAAAAAGGUUGUGUUAGAAUUAAAGUGUGUUACUGUAUGCUAAAUGAGAUGUGCUUUGAACAAAAUGUAAAGACAGAAUGUAAGAACAUAAUGUACCAGCUGUAAGAAACUGUUUGUCAGCAAAACAAAAAGCUGACUG